AACGAACGCUGGCGGCAGGCUUAACACAUGCAAGUCGAGCGCCCCGCAAGGGGAGCGGCAGACGGGUGAGUAACGCGUGGGAAUCUACCCAUCUCUACGGAAUAACGCAUGGAAACGUGUGAUAAUACCGUAUACGUCCUUCGGGAGAAAGAUUUAUCGGAGAUGGAUGAGCCCGCGUUGGAUUAGCUAGUUGGUGGGGUAAAGGCCUACCAAGGCGACGAUCCAUAGCUGGUCUGAGAGGAUGAUCAGCCACACUGGGACUGAGACACGGCCCAGACUCCUACGGGAAGCAGCAGUGGGGAAUAUUGGACAAUGGGCGCAAGCCUGAUCCAGCCAUGCCGCGUGAGUGAUGAAGGCCCUAGGGUUGUGAAGCUCUUUCACCGGUGAAGAUAAUGACGGUAACCGGAGAAGAAGCCCCGGCUAACUUCGUGCCAGCCGCCGCCGUAAAAC
rnacentral:rRNA from 1 species